rnacentral:rRNA from 1 species
UACGAAGGGGCGUAGCGUUGUUCGGAAUUACUGGGCGGUAAAGACGCGCGUAGGCGGUGAUCCAUGUCAGAGGUGAAAGACCCGGGGCGUCAACUCCGGAAUUGCCUUUGAAACGGGAUCGCUAGAGUCCGAGAGAGGGUGGCGGAAUUCCUAGUGUAGAGGUGAAAUUCGUAGAUAUUAGGAAGAACACCGGUGGCGAAGGCGGCCAUCUGGCUCGGUACUGACGCUCAGGCGCGAAAGCGUGGGGAGC